GACGAACGCUGGCGGCGUGCUUAACACAUGCAAGUCGAACGGAAAGGCCCUGCUUUUGUGGGGUGCUCGAGUGGCGAACGGGUGAGUAACACGUGAGUAACCUGCCCUUGACUUUGGGAUAACUUCAGGAAACUGGGGCUAAUACCGGAUAGGAGCUCCUGCUGCAUGGUGGGGGUUGGAAAGUUUCGGCGGUUGGGGAUGGACUCGCGGCUUAUCAGCUUGUUGGUGGGGUAGUGGCUUACCAAGGCUUUGACGGGUAGCCGGCCUGAGAGGGCGACCGGCCACAUUGGGACUGAGAUACGGCCCAGACUCCUACGGGAGGCAGCAGUGGGGAAGAUUGCACAAUGGGCGGAAGCCUGAUGCAGCAACGCCGCGUGCGGGAUGACGGCCUUCGGGUUGUAAACCGCUUUCGCCUGUGACGAAGCGUGAGUGACGGUAAUGGGUAAAGAAGCACCGGCUAACUACGUG
rnacentral:rRNA from 1 species